GGGGCUGAUUCUGGAUUCGACGGGAUUUGCGAAACCCAAGGUGCAUGCCGAGGGGCGGUUGGCCUCGUAAAAAGCCGCAAAAAAUAGUCGCAAACGACGAAAACUACGCUUUAUCAGCUUAAUAACCUGCUUAGAGCCCUCUCUCCCUAGCCUCCGCUCUUAGGACGGGGAUCAAGAGAGGUCAAACCCAAAAGAGAUCGCGUGGAAGCCCUGCCUGGGGUUGAAGCGUUAAAACUUAAUCAGGCUAGUUUGUUAGUGGCGUGUCCGUCCGCAGCUGGCAAGCGAAUGUAAAGACUGACUAAGCAUGUAGUACCGAGGAUGUAGGAAUUUCGGACGCGGGUUCAACUCCCGCCAGCUCCACCA
rnacentral:tmRNA from 1 species